rnacentral:rRNA from 1 species
UACGUAGGGUGCGAGCGUUGUCCGGAAUUAUUGGGCGUAAAGAGCUCGUAGGCGGUGUGUCACGUCGGCCGUGAAAACCUGCAGCUUAACUGUGGGCGUGCGGUCGAUACGGGCAUCACUGGAGUUCGGCAGGGGAGACUGGAAUUCCUGGUGUAGCGGUGAAAUGCGCAGAUAUCAGGAGGAACACCGAGUGGCGAAGGCAGCCCCCUGGGUCAAGAUUGACGCUCAUG